rnacentral:tRNA from 1 species
GCGGGUAUAGUAUAUCGGUUAUUAUGUCAGUUUUCCAAACUGAAGAGGCGAGUUCGAUUCUCGCUACCCGCU